rnacentral:rRNA from 1 species
CACGUAGGGGGCGAGCGUUGUCCGGAUUUAUUGGGCGUAAAGAGCUCGUAGGCGGCUCGGUAAGUCAGGUGUGAAAACUCUAGGCUCAACCUAGAGACGCCACCUGAUACUGCCGUGGCUAGAGUCCGGUAGGGGAGCAUGGAAUUCCUGGUGUAGCGGUGAAAUGCGUAGAGAUGCGGAGGAACACCGAUGGCGAAGGCAGCCCCCUGGGCCAAUACUGACGCUCAGGCACGAAAGCGUGGGGAGCAAACAGG